rnacentral:rRNA from 1 species
UACAUGGGGUGCAAACGUUGCUCGGAAUUAUUGGGCGUAAAGCGCGCGUAGGCGGUUACUCAAGUCGGAUGUGAAAGCCCUCGGCUUAACUGAGGAAGUGCACCCGAAACUGAGUAGCUAGAGUACUAAAGAGGGUCGCGGAAUUCCCGGUGUAGAGGUGAAAUUCGUAGAUAUCGGGAGGAACACCGGUGGCGAAGGCGGCGACCUGGGUAGAUACUGACGCUGAGGCGGCGAAAAGCGUGGGGAGCGAACAGG